UUAACGAUUUGCUUUCGUUGUUCAGACCGCAGUUACAAAAAGGUUUGGUUGGUGCUGUCGACAGGCUGACCGCCCCGCAUCGCUGCGGGGGAGCUGCCGAAGCAACGGGCGUUUUCACAGUGGUUUGGAAAAGGGGACGCGUCUCCGCAUCACAGUUUCUUAAUGAUCCUUCCGCAGGUUCACCUACGGAAA
rnacentral:misc_RNA from 1 species